GACGAACGCUGGCGGCAUGCCUAAUACAUGCAAGUCGAACGAUGAAUCUCUCUGCUUGCAGAGAGAGGAAGAGUGGCGAACGGGUGAGUAACACGUGAGGAACUUGCCCAUAAGAGGGGGAUAACAUCCGGAAACGGGUGCUAAUACCGCAUACGUAACACAUUCGCAUGAACGUGUUAUUAAAGGUGGCUCUGCUACCGCUUAUGGAUAGCCUCGCGGUGCAUUAGCUAGUUGGUGGGGUAACGGCCUACCAAGGCGAUGAUGCAUAGCCGACUUGAGAGGGUGAUCGGCCACACUGGGACUGAGACACGGCCCAGACUCCUACGGGAGGCAGCAGUAGGGAAUCUUCCACAAUGGGUGCAAACCUGAUGGAGCAAUGCCGCGUGAGUGAAGAAGGACUU
rnacentral:rRNA from 1 species